rnacentral:rRNA from 1 species
UAACGCGUGGGUAACCUGCCUCACACUGGGGGAUAACAGUUAGAAAUAGCUGCUAAUACCGCAUAAGCGCACGGUUCCGCAUGGAACAGUGUGAAAAACUCCGGUGGUGUGAGAUGGACCCGCGUCUGAUUAGCCAGUUGGCGGGGUAACGGCCCACCAAAGCGACGAUCAGUAGCCGGCCUGAGAGGGUGAACGGCCACAUUGGGACUGAGACACGGCCCAAACUCCUACGGGAGGCAGCAGUGGGGAAUAUUGCGCAAUGGGGGAAACCCUGAUGCAGCGACGCCGCGUGAGUGAAGAAGUAUUUCGGUAUGUAAAGCUCUAUCAGCAGGGAAGAAAGUGACGGUACCUGAAUAAGAAGCCCCGGCUAACUACGUGCCAGCAGCCGCGGUAAUACGUAGGGGGCAAGCGUUAUCCGGAUUUACUGGGUGUAAAGGGAGCGUAGACGGCAAGGCAAGUCUGAAGUGAAAGCCCGGUGCUUAACGCCGGGACUGCUUUGGAAACUGUUUAGCUGGAGUGCCGGAGAGGUAAGCGGAAUUCCUAGUGUAGCGGUGAAAUGCGUAGAUAUUAGGAAGAACACCAGUGGCGAAGGCGGCUUACUGGACGGUAACUGACGUUGAGGCUCGAAAGCGUGGGGAGCAAACAGGAUUAGAUACCCUGGUAGUCCACGCCGUAAACGAUGAUUGCUAGGUGU